GCGUAAUAGCUCACUGGUCGAGUCGGCCUGCGCGGAAGAUGUAACGGGGCUAAACCAUGCACCGAAGCUGCGGCAGCGACACUGUGUGUUGUUGGGUAGGGGAGCGUUCUGUAAGCCUGUGAAGGUGGCCUGUGAGGGUUGCUGGAGGUAUCAGAAGUGCGAAUGCUGACAUAAGUAACGAUAAAGCGGGUGAAAAGCCCGCUCGCCGGAAGAC
rnacentral:rRNA from 3 species